UUUUGGCUUAGAGGCCAUUUACACAUUGCCGGCUAUUUUCAUAAAUGGACAUUUCACCAUCUCCGUUUUCAAAAAGAUCUUCGUUUACACUUACCCGUGUAUAUAUACACAAGAGCAUGCCAAACCUGUAGGUGGCAGUGUAACGAGAAGCUCAAGCCUUCCGUGUAUCCAUUGUCACCAUAGCAACAUAGGUCACACUUUUGACACAGGCGCAAGUUCCGGCGCAUACUGUGACGUCGGCUGCCUAUAACUCCGUCUAUCUCCGUUAAUCUCAGUUUACAUGCAAACGCGCAACCGGAGUUUUCCUAAAUCUCCACUCUGGCCGGAGUUUUUAGAAAGACUCGUUUUCAGAGGAGAAAUCUCCGUUUGCGUGUAAACGAAGGGCACAAACGAAGGAAGAUGUCUCUGUUUAUCAAAAUCACCGUGUACGUGUAAACAACCUCCUAGUAAGGCCAUCAUCCAGUUUCUCCCUCUCAGAGGCCGUUUACACAUUGCCGGCUAUUUUCAUAAACGGACAUUUCACCGUCUCCGUUUUCAAAAAAUUCUUCGUUUACACUUACCCGUGUAUAUAUACACAAGAGCAUGCCAAACCUGUAGGUGGCAGUGUAAUGAGAAGCUCAAACCUUCCAUGUAUCCAUUGUCACCAUAGCAACAUAGGUCACACUCAUGGGUCGCACUUUUGACACAGUCGCAAGUUCCGGCGCAUACUGUGACGUCGGCUGCCUAUAACUCCGUCUAUCUCAGUUUAUCUCAGUUUACAUGCAAACGCGCAACCGGAGUUUUCCAAAAUCUCCACUCUGGCCGGAAUUUUUAGAAAGACUCGUUUUCAGAGGAGAAAUCUCCGUUUGCGUGUAAACGAAGGGCACAAACGAAGGAAGAUGUCUCCGUUUAUCAAAAUCACCGUGUACGUGUAAACGGCCUCUCAGGGAAGCUCCACCCUCUGCCUCUCCAUUAGCAGGCAAACACCUGGAGACUAUUCUCAUUAAGAGUUUAUAUUCAGGGAGCACUCAGGAUGUCUCUUGAUGCAUUUUCUGUCCAGGGUGGCUGAGGAGCAUGUUAGUCUCCUGAAGGUAUGAUUUGAGGCUACUUGUUUUAACUUUGUGAACACUUUAAAAUAUGUUUUUAUUGAUCAGUUUUACUUUGUUUUUACUACAGGCAUUUUAAGCCACCUGUUGCCCAGACCCUGUAGGCCCGGCUAAGCUAAGCUCACCACAGGGAUGAGACUGGAAGCCAAUAUCCUGAGGUGAAAGUUAUUACCUGGUCCAGCUGUGAAACUUAACACAUGUAUGUUGUUUGCCUGUGAUAACACUGGUUUACAUUGCAGUUACCUUAAACAUCCAGUCAUUGCAUGAGCGGGAGCCAGAUCUGGGUUUCAUUAUAUACUGCAUUGUCGAGGGUUGUAUAGCCACUGCUGUUUUGCCUGCCGGACAAACUGUUGCCAGUUAUACCUUGCUUUUUGUCCUGCUAGACAGACAGGGUGGUGGACUGUGGGCGCCCCUUCACUGCAUGUGGUGGUGUGCGUGUAACAGCUGUGUGCACCAGUCUAGUUCAGCCUUACUGUGUGGUUUAGGUGUGUGUGUGUGUGUGUGUAUAUAAAUGAUUUGCUGUGCUUAGGUGGCUGUGCACCAGUGUGAGUGUGGUGGUGUCCGGGCCUUUUGGGAGCACCCAGGUAACUCCCCUACAUGUCUGGCUCUUGUAGUAACGGUUGUGCUUGUUUUCUCCUUUUUAGCGUUUGUGCCUUAUUGGCAUUUUUGUCCUCGUAACACCCCUAGUACCAUUGGCAUAACAUCUACCCUAUUGCUCGAGUUUUUAUCGUGUUUCAUGAAUAAA